rnacentral:rRNA from 1 species
AGCUGUAUGGAAUAAUAUAUAGUAAUUUCUGCUCCAUGAACAUUAAAUAGCCGCAGUACCCUGACUGUGCAAAGGUAGCAUAAUCAGUUGGCUUUUAAUUAAAGUCUGGUAUGAAUGAAAAUAUGGGUGGUAACUGUCUCUAGCAUACUAGUUAGAACUUUUUAAGCAAGUGAAAAUACUUGCGAAUUUCAAAAAGACGAGAAGACCCUAGAAACUUGAAUUAGUUUUUGUUGGGGCGACAGAAUUACAGUUAACUAAUUUUCAUUGACAUGACACGUGGUUGAAAGAAUAAGUUACUCUAGGGAUAACAGCAUAAUUUUAAUAGUUUGUGACCUCGAUGUUGGACUAGGUAUUGUACCCUUUAGGCAAGGGUACAGGAUGCUCUGUUCGAGCAAUUUUACCUACAU